rnacentral:snRNA from 1 species
GUGCUUGCUUCAGCAGCACAUAUACUACAAUUGGAACAAUACAGAGAAGAUUAGCAUGGCCCCUGCACAAGGAUGACAUGCAAAUUCGUGAAGCGUUCCAUAUUUUU